rnacentral:rRNA from 1 species
UACGGAGGAUGCAAGCGUUAUCCGGAUUUAUUGGGUUUAAAGGGUGCGUAGGCGGGAAAAUAAGUCAGUGGUGAAAUCCUACAGCUUAACUGUAGAAUUGCCGUUGAUACUGUUUUUCUUGAGUAUGGUCAAGGAAGGCGGAAUGUGUAAUGUAGCGGUGAAAUGCUUAGAUAUUACACAGAACACCAAUUGCGAAGGCAGCUUUCUGGCCCAUUACUGACGCUGAGGCACGAAAGCGUGGGGAUCGAACAGGAUUAGAUACCCCGGUAGUCCCU